rnacentral:rRNA from 1 species
UGACUGUACCCUAAGAAUAAGGUCCGGCUAACUUCGUGCCAGCAGCCGCGGUAAUACGAAGGGACCUAGCGUAGUUCGGAAUUACUGGGCGUAAAGCGCGCGUAGGCCGUUGAGUUAGUUAAUUGUGGAAUCCCAAAGCUUAACUUUGGAACUGCAAUUAAAACUGCUCGACUAGAGUUUGAUAGAGGAAAGCGGAAUACAUAGUGUAGAGGUGAAAUUCGUAGAUAUUAUGUAGAACACCAGUUGCGAAGGCGGCUUUCUGGAUCAACACUGACGCUGAGGCGCGAAAGUAUGGGUAGCAAAGAGGAUUAGAUACCCUCGUAGUCCAUACCAUAAACGAUGAUUGCCAGAUGUUGGAAAUUUAUUUUCAGUAUCGCAGCCAACGCAUUAAGCAAUCCGCCUGGGGAGUACGACCGCAAGGUUAAAACUCAAAUGAAUUGACGGGGACCCGCACAAGCGGUGGAGCAUGUGGUUUAAUUCGAAGAUACGCGCAGAACCUUACCAACCCUUGACAUGUCUGUCGCGAGUUUAGGAAACUAGACUUUUCGGUUCGGCCGGACAGAACACAGGUGCUGCAUGGCUGUCGUCAGC